CAUCGCAGUAAUACCCACAAGAGAUCAUGAGUGCCAGAACCAAGAGAGUGCCAUAGGGACGAAACGGGAGGAGGCAUUGGAAACAGUGCCUGGCCUAUUUCCAGAGCUCCAAAAAAACAAGGAGGAGAGCAGAGACAAUCUGCUUUACAACAAGACUUGCCUUUGAAGACAGAGGAGAAAGGACCUGUAUCUCCUACCACAAGAGCUCCAGCUCCGGGCUCAGGAAAUGACUAGAAAAGCAACAUUGGUGAAACCACAGCCUCAGACCUUAGAGUUGGAAGAAGGACCCUCAGAGAGCCUCCCUAAGUCCUCAGUCUAAGAAUGAGGAAGCCCAGGCUCCAAGAGCGGCGGUGACCGCGCACGUCUUGGAUGGAGAAAGGACACGGAAGCCUGCAUCUGGACGUGCGUCGGGCUGCGCGCGGCGCUUCCCUUUGGCGCGGG